rnacentral:rRNA from 1 species
UGCAAGUCGAACGGUAACAGGAAGAAGCUUGCUUCUUUGCUGACGAGUGGCGGACGGGUGAGUAAUGUCUGGGAAACUGCCUGAUGGAGGGGGAUAACUACUGGAAACGGUAGCUAAUACCGCAUAACGUCGCAAGACCAAAAAGGGGGACCUUCGGGCCUCUUGCCAUCGGAUGUGCCCAGAUGGGAUUAGCUAGUAGGUGGGGUAACGGCUCACCUAGGCGACGAUCCCUAGCUGGUCUGAGAGGAUGACCAGCCACACUGGAACUGAGACACGGUCCAGACUCCUACGGGAGGCAGCAGUGGGGAAUAUUGCACAAUGGGCGCAAGCCUGAUGCAGCCAUGCCGCGUGUAUGAAGAAGGCCUUCGGGUUGUAAAGUACUUUCAGCGGGGAGGAAGGGAGUAAAGUUAAUACCUUUGCUCAUUGACGUUACCCGCAGAAGAAGCACCGGCUAACUCCGUGCCAGCAGCCGCGGUAAUACGGAGGGUGCAAGCGUUAAUCGGAAUUACUGGGCGUAAAGCGCACGCAGGCGGUUUGUUAAGUCAGAUGUGAAAUCCCCGGGCUCAACCUGGGAACUGCAUCUGAUACUGGCAAGCUUGAGUCUCGUAGAGGGGGGUAGAAUUCCAGGUGU